GAUGAAGAACGCAGCGAAAUGCGAUAAGUAAUGCGAAUUGCAGAAUUUCCGUGAGUCAUCGAAUCUUUGAACGCACAUUGCGCCCCCUGGUAUUCCUGGGGGCACACCUGUCCGAGCGCCAUUUCAACCCUCAAGCUUCGCUUGGUGAUGGGGACCGCCCGCGGGCGGCCCCGAAACUCGUGGGCGCCGACGGCCGGCCCUGAGCGUAGCAAAACCCUCGCUCGGGACCCCGGCCGGCGGCCGCCUCGACCUCAUACUCACAAGGUUGGCCUCGGAUCAGGUGGGGAUACCCGCUGAACUUAAGCAUAUCAAUAAGCGGAGGA
rnacentral:misc_RNA from 1 species